rnacentral:tRNA from 1 species
UCCCAUAUAGUCCAGUGGUUAGGAUUUGGCGCUUUCACCGCCACGGCCCGAGUUCAAUUCCUGGUGUGGGAA